rnacentral:rRNA from 1 species
AAGCGCUUGUGACCAGACUUGUGCCGGGCUGAUCAUCCAGUGUUCUCACUGGUGCACUCGACCCGGCUCAGGCCAGCGUCGGUUCUCGCAGGGGGAUAAAAGCUCUGGGAACGUGGCUCCUCCGGGAGUGUUAUAGCCCGCAGCUUAAUACCCUUGCGGGGACCGAGGUUCGCGCUCUGCAAGGACGCUGGCGUAAUGGUCAUCAGCGA